CAAGAUCAGGCUCGCACCUACGCCCGAUAUGUUGGAAGAUCCAUCCACGUAGAGGGUCCAAAAGGAACCAGGGAGGUCGGCUUCUUCUUCAGGGGAGUUCGGUCGGGGCUCAAGGUCAUCCAUUUCACCCUGUUUCGGUUCGGCCUCCUCCAAGAUAGUGCACUCUACUAUAAAAUCUGCAAAUAUCUGGGCUUUUAUCGUCGGUCUAGGUCGAUAGUUGAUGUCGAAUUCGGUGAGCUCGAUCGUCUAUUUCGCCAUCCUCCCGGAGGCAUCUACCUGGUGCAGAAUCGCCUUGAUCGGCU
rnacentral:lncRNA from 1 species